GAAAUAAGUGCUGUGGUUGUGGCUUGGGUCCUGGUCAGAUUUUCUUUUUUUAGUCUUUAGGUGGAUCACAUGUCUGAUCAAUAACAUUGAUUCUAUCAGUCAACAGCUUAUAUACUCACAUAAAUAAUAAUAAUAAAAAAACUACUAUAGAUUACAAAUACAAUUAAGCGAUAACAAUCCAUAAAUGACUGCAUAUCUGUCAGUCACAGGUGACUUUAAAUAAGUGAAUACAAAUAAAUCUGUAACCUGAUGCGGGGUUGCCAACUUUAACUCAUUUGCCAUAAAACAAAUGAUUUCAGCCAGCACACGCUACCCAACUACAUCUCACGGCAAAUAACAAGAAAAUACUAAAUAAAUGGAAUCAUUUAGAUUAAAAUAUCCAAUUUCAUGCAUUAUAAAAUCAUAACUGUAAAGGGAUCUUAAUAAAGAAUUCUUUACAUUAGGCCCUAAAUGAUCAAUCAGCACGGCUCCAGUUCAUCAGUUAACAUCUUGUGAAGUGAAAAUGUGUAUGCAAGAAAUAUAUUCAUCAUUGAGGUAUUUUAACUUGGUUCUGGCUAGUCCAUAAUCCAUAAAAACGAUCCCUCAAACCCCAAGAAUUAGGCCACGGAUCUUUAGUGCUCAUGUGUGCCUGAAGCUACUCUCUAUAUACAGAUGACUGUCUUUAAUCAGUCUGGUAAGGGUUUGUAUUUAUAUUAUUAUAUUUAUUAGUAUGGUUAUAUUUAUAGGCUAUUUGGUAAUUUGGGGGUCUUUGAGACAUCCGCGAGCACACUGACGUCAAAUAUAUUACACAGAUUCACAGCGGCCACUUUUUAUACAAAAACUGUAUUGCCCCCCCCCCCCCCGGCCCUGUUUUUAUUUUCUCAAACGUGUUGUUUGCUGCCUCAUGAGUUUCGUUUCGUUUGUCUUAACAACCAGCUGACCUGAAGGUUGAUAGCUUAGUUUCAUUCAGCUCACAGUUCUCGUUGCCGUUUGGAGGAACAGACUGUCAAAGCAAUGGACUUGUACGACGAAUAUGACUUUUAUACAGCAGACACUGAGGGUCAAGAUGCUGGACCAUCUCUGGAUGACAUGAUGUAUCAAAACUUGACCAUGUAUCAGCCAUACUUACUGUCAGAGGAGGACAUUUAUACAGCUGGUGAUGAAAUGCCUCAACCUUCAGCACCACUGGAUAUCGCUGGAUUUAAAAUCAAAGUGGACUGGACAGAACCAUUUCCAGAGAGAUGGAGAGCAAGAUUACAGAAAGCCCUUCAGAGCUGGUUGUCCAGACUGGAAAGAACAGCAUCAGUCCACAGCGUUAAACUCAUGGACGACCCAUCGUGUGCGGAGGUGCAGAUAACACCAUCAACAGGUGAGAAAAUGUCAUAUAUACAAUACAUUUUUGUCAUCAUCUCAUGGAUGCUAGUAUCUGAAAUAGCUAAAAUACAUACAAUAUUUGUACAUAUUAAUACAGAAGGGAAAAUACCACUGUUGGGGGUAUGGUAACAAACAGAAGAGAAGAUUUAUUUUAAAAAUAAUGAGUAAAGUAAAGUGGAGUGGCACGCUUUGAUCCAGUAUGUUUUAUUUUGCUUUAUUUGAGUAUAAAAUGUGAUUAAAAGGUCACUAUUUCCAUCUGUCAUACAAAGAAACAACGGUUUGAUUUAUGGGUCCCCUUGCAUAUGUAGUUUACAGGGAUUCUCCAUAGGUGUAAUGGUUUUUAUACUGUACAGACAGGAUUUUCUAUCCCCUUAACCUUAACCCUACACCUGAAGCUAAACCUCAAACAAAACUACAGCCAAUUUUGAGUUUCAAAAAACACUGUUUAGGCUGUUUUUUUUUAAAGCCUUUUGGUUUACAGGGACACAUGAUGUGUCCUCAUAAACCA
ensembl:lncRNA